UUAGAGGAAGUCUCUUAUGUAAUACCUCAGGGAUUUGUCCUUGGCCCUGGGAUGUUGUACAGUUCUUUUGUUAAUCCAUUGCUUGGAUGAAUUCAUAUAUAGAUCCCUUGGUCUGACAGUGGAGAAUGGAGUCAAAAUCCAAAAGGGUCUUGAUAGGACAGAACAAUGGUUCAAAUCUGGAAGGAUAUUACAAUUGGAAGAGCAUCUAGAAAAGACCAAUGAGCACAGAGAGGGGAUUGGAGUUCAAGUCAUAAAAGGAUCAGCUGAAGCAAUUGGAGUAGAGAAGGACUGUUAUGUAAUGAGCAAUUCAAUUUCUACUUCUUGGUCUCAGAGAGCAGAACAAUGAAUGAAAGUUGCAAGAAAGCAGAUUUAAAUUUAGAAUAAUAAAAACUUUCCUGACAAUUGGAGCAUCUCAAAA